UCCCUGGCAGUCCAGUGGUUAAGACUCUACACUUCCAAUGCAGGGGGUGCAGGUUCAAUCCCUGGUCAGGGAA
rnacentral:tRNA from 1 species